UGCCAGCACAGUCCGACACCACACGGGCGCCUCACACACACAAUGCACGAACAGCGGUAUGGGCGCACACACUGAUCGCGCAGCUUUGCACGCACACGCUGUGCGCUGUUGAAUUACGACCCUGAACCAGGCGUGCCAAAGGAUGUUACUCCAAUGGCGCAAUGUGCAUUCGAAUGUUCUGUGUUCAAGGUUUCUGCAGUUCACACUACUUAUCGCAGUUGGCUGCGUUCUUCAUCGAUGCCAUGGAAGCAAGCU
rnacentral:misc_RNA from 1 species